rnacentral:rRNA from 1 species
ACGCGAAGAACCUUACCUAGCCUUGACAUUGAUAGAAUCCUUUAGAGAUAGAGGAGUGCCCUUCGGGGAGCUCGAAAACAGGUGUUGCACGGCUGUCGUCAGCUCGUGUCGUGAGAUGUUGGGUUAAGUCCCGCAACGAGCGCAACCCUCGUCCUUAGUUACUAACGGUUCGGCCGAGGACUCUAAGGAGACUGCCUUCGUAAGGAGGAGGAAGGUGAGGACGACGUCAAGUCAUCAUGACCCUUACGGCUAGGGCGACACACGUGCUACAAUGGAUAGGACAAUGAGACGCAAUACCGCGAGGUGGAGCAAAUCUAUAAACCUAUUCUCAGUUCGGAUUGUAGUCUGCAACUCGACUACAUGAAGCUGGAAUCACUAGUAAUCGUAGAUCAGCCAUGCUACGGUGAAUACGUUCCCGGGUCUUGUACACACCGA